AUGGCUGGAAUGUUUAUUCAUUAUCUUCCAGUAAUAUACCUGCUUUUCCUGCAAGCUCAUUAUUUACUCAUAUAUAUUUUGUGUGACAAGAAAGCUUUUUAUUUGUGUCAGUCAAGGAUGGAGUUUAAGCACACGAAAAAGACAAGCUUUUUGGUCAGGAGGAAAACAAAAAAUGGGAAUGAAAAGAAACUUUCAAUGAAAAAAAUAGAGCAGACAGAUGUGAACCUUCCACCAGAGGAACAGGCAUCUGGAAUUCUUGAUCUCAUUGCUCUAGAUGCUGAAGCACUUAACAAGAGAGUGCUUCAUGCUCUCAGAAAGAUUCUGAGUGACCAAUCAACCUCUGAGGACUUUGAUGCUGCAGCUGAGGUGCUGAAAACAUUGAGCAAACUGAAUAACAACUAUUCUCAAGACUGGCUUUGUGAGUACCUUCAAGAAAUUAAUCAGUUUGUGGAGAACCACUUUCCCACGCUGCCAGCAGAGGGACCACAAGGAUCUCAGUUGGAGCAGAUACAGGACUUUCAGAGAACACAGAGCAUGAUAAAUGAUAAGGUGCUUCGAUUAACACCUGCACUGAAAGAUGCUGGGCUGCUAGAUCAUCUGAUGGACAGUUACAGCCGUCACCUCUUUACCAACCUGGACCUGCUGCUAAACAGAGAUCUGUCUGUGAAAGAGAUCUUCUGCCUUCUGCUGUGGGGAAAAGAUGUUUUCUUCAGUUCAGACUCACAGCAUUUCUUCAGAGUGCACGACCCUCUGCUGUUGACAAAUUGGUUUGAGAGAGCAACGAAGAAACUGCUGCCAAAACUAAAGAAUGACAUCUCCACGACUCUACAGAACAUCCUGGACUAUGAUGCGCAAAAUAGACCUAAUGGAGACUCAAUGGAUGAAGAAACGUUCAUCAGAGUUCACUUAGAUGUCACUAAAUGUCUGAAUGCUGUUAUACAGAGUUCUAAGGAAUUUAGUCACACGUUGAUGUGUGCGGCACAAACGCUCUGCCUUAAAGAGCUUCAUCAUUUUGUUCAGGAGUAUGUGCAUGCAGAGAAAAAACGCCUGGAAAAACAACAACCCCUGAAGAAAAAUCCUGUGCAUCUGUUUCGGCUCAUCAGCACCUGUAGACAACUCAGAUUUUUUGCUCCUCAACUCAACAAUCCAGAUAUAAACAACAGUGACGACCUCUCAAAAAUUAUCUGCAUGUUAGAGGAGAUGGAGGAUCACGUUCUGUCUAUUGUACAGAAGAUGAUGAAAGACGUAGCACAGGUAACAUCAUUUCAUCAUAAACAGUUUAUGUACAGAAGGAAAGUUGAGGACUUUCCCAGAUUCCAAAAAGGGAAUGUCUCAGUCAUCAAUAGAGGUUAAUAUUUGUUUGCUUACAUACCUGCCUAUCAGGUUUUUCAACAAUGAAUAGGUAACUCUUUGUAAUAAGGUUGAGUUUGUUACGUAGUAAAUCCAUUAGGUAUUAUGAACUAACAUUGAGCAAUACUUUUUAAACCUAGAGUUCAGUUUCAGUUUAAUUUAUUUAUAUAGCACAUUUAAUAACGAAAGAGCCGACCAAAGUGCUGAACAGAAAAUAGAACAAAACUAAUAACAAUAAAACAAAAAAGAAUAAAAGAAAACACAAAGUACACAACACUAAAUUCACACAAAAUAAAACUGUAUACAGCAGUUACUCCAGUCCAUAAGACAUUUUAAAAAGAUAUGUCUUAAGUAAAGAUUUAAAAACCGGAACAGAAGUGGCUGAUCUGCCACAGAAAAUGCACGAUCCCCCUUGUGUUUUAAGCGUUUCCUUUUAACAGACAGCAACAGAGUGUUUGAUGACCUUAAUGGCCCAUCGAUCUGAUAAUGGGAGAGAAGAUCAGAUGAGUAGUUUGGUGCCAAGCCUGUCAGGGACUUAUAAACAAACAGUAAUACCUUAAACUAGAUUCUAUACUCAUGGGGGAACCAGUACAAACUAGCCAAAACAGGUGUAAUAUUUUCCCCCUUCCUAGUCCUAGUUAAAAGUCUGGCUGCAGCAUUUUGGACCAACUGAAGGCGAGACAAACAAGAUUGAGUGACCCCUAAAUAUAGUAAAUUACAAUAGUCCAGUCUUGAUGAAAUUAAUGCAUGGAUAACGGUCUCCAAGUCCCUGAAUAAAAGAAAAGAUUUAAUUUAGGCAAAACUCCUGAGCUGAAAAAAUGCUAAUUUGACAACUGAGUUGGGUGUGGGGUCAAAAAUAAAUCCCUAAUUUCUUGCAUAAAUACCUACAGUGUUAGUUAUAGGAACCAAUGUUUUUGAGAAGAUAUUGGCAGAACCCAGACAUCCAAAAACAUUUCAGUCUUAGAGUCGUUUAAUUGAAGGAAUUUAUCCUCCAUCCAACUUUGAACUUCACUGAAACAACCAAGUAAUGACUGGACAGACAUAACUGGUAGAUAAAGCUGUUUUUCAUCUGCAUAACAAUGAUAUGAAAUCUGAUGGUUAUGAAAAAUAUUGGUUAAUGGAAGAAGAUAGAGGUAAAACAAAACAGGGCCUAAAACAGAUCCCUGUGGCACACCACAUGUACAUGCAGCAGAGGAUGAAGUAAAGU
rnacentral:lncRNA from 12 species